UACGUAGGGGGCUAGCGUUGUCCGGAAUUAUUGGGCGUAAAGCGCGUGUAGGCGGUUUGGUAAGUCCGCUGUAAAAGUCCAGGGCUCAACCCUGGAAGGCCGGUGGAUACUGUCAGACUAGAGUACGGAAGAGGCGAGUGGAAUUCCUGGUGUAGCGGUGAAAUGCGCAGAUAUCAGGAGGAACACCAAUUGCGAAGGCAGCUCGCUGGGACGUUACUGACGCUGAGACGCGAAAGCGUGGGGAGCAAACAGG
rnacentral:rRNA from 1 species